CCAACCCCUCUCUGAGUCCACUUAGGGAGACUCGGCUUGCCGGGGUCUCAGGGUCAGAGUCUUGGAGGCAUUUUGGAGGUCAGGAAAGAAAGCCGGGGAGAGGGACCCUUCCAAUGGGAACCCAGCCUGUCCUCCCCAAGUCUGGCCACAGAUGUCGGCAGCUGGGGGGCUCCUUUGGCUGGUCUGGGGUGACCUCUCUCCGCUUCACCUGGAGCAUUCUCAGGGGCUGUCGUGAUGAUAGCGUGGUGGGACUCUGUCCCGCUCCGAGGCACCCGCUCUCUGGGACGGGUGCCCCCCAGGGUUUUUGGACUCCUGGGGGUGACUUAGCAGCCGUCUGCUUGCAGUUGGACUUCCCAGGCUGACAGUGGUCUGGCUUCUGAGGGGUCAGGCCAGAAUGUGGGGUACGUGGGAGGCCAGCAGAGGGUUCCAUGAGAAGGGCAGGACAGGGCCACGGACAGUCAGCUUCCAUGCGAUGCCUGGAGACAGAAGGUCUCUGGGUGGCUGGGUUUUUGUGGGGUGAGGAUGGACACUCUGCCAUUGUGAUUACUACGGUAUGGACUUCUGGGACCAAGGGACCAUGGUCACCGUCUCCUCAGCCUCCACCAAGGGCCCAUCGGUCUUCCCCCUGGCGUCCUGCUCCAGGAGCACCUCUGGGGGCACAGCGGCCCUGGGCUGCCUGGUCAAGGACUACUUCCCCGAACCGGUGACCGUGUCGUGGAACUCAGGCACCCUGACCAGCGGUGUGCACACCUUUCCGGCUGUUCUACAGUCCUCAGGGCUCUACUCCCUCAGCAGCGUGGUGACCGUGCCCUCCAGCAGCUUGGGCACCCAGACCUACACCUGCAACGUAGAUCACAAGCCCAGCAACACCAAGGUGGACAAGAGAGUUGAGCUCAAAACCCCACAUGAUGACACAACUCACCCAUGCACACCGUGCCCAGAGCCCAAAUCUUGUGACACACCUCCCACGUGCCCACGGUGCCCAGAGCCCAAAUCUUGUGACACACCUCCCCCGUGCCCACGGUGCCCACGGUGCCCAGAGCCCAAAUCUUGUGACACACCUCCCACGUGCCCACGGUGCCCAGAACCUGAACUCCUGGGGGGACCGUCAGUCUUCCUCUUCCCCCCAAAACCCAAGGACACCCUCAUGAUCUCCGGGACCCCUGAGGUCACGUGCGUGGUGGUGGACGUGAGCCACGAAGACCCCGAGGUCCAGUUCAGGUGGUACGUGGACGGCGUGGAGGUGCACAAUGCCAAGACAAAGCCGCGGGAGGAGCAGUUCAACAGCACGUACCGUGUGGUCAGCGUCCUCACCGUCGUGCACCAGGACUGGCUGAACGGCAAGGAGUAUAAGUGCAAGGUCUCCAACAAAGCCCUCCCAGCCCCCAUCGAGAAAACCAUCUCUAAAGCCAAAGGGCAGCCCCGAGAGCCGCAGGUGUACACCCUGCCCCCAUCUCGGGAGGAGCUGACCAAGAACCAGGUCAGCCUGACCUGCCUGGUCAAAGGCUUCUACCCCAACGACAUCGCCGUGGAGUGGGACAGCAGCGGGCAGCCAGAGAACAACUACAAGACCAUGCCUCCCGUGCUGGACUCCGACGGCUCCUUCUUUCUCUACAGCAAGCUCACCGUGGACAAGAGCAGGUGGCAGCAGGGGAACGUCUUCUCAUGCUCCGUGAUGCAUGAGGCUCUGCACAACCACUUCAUGCAGAAGAGCCUCUCCCUGUCUCCGGGUAAAUGAGUACGACGGCCGGCAAGCCCCCCCUCCCCGGGCUCUCGGGGUCGCGCGAGGAUGCUUGGCACACACCCCAUGUACACACUUCCCAGGCGCCCAGCAUGGAAAUAAAGCACCCAGCGCUGCCCUGGGCCCCUGA